rnacentral:tRNA from 1 species
AGUUAAUAACUUAUUAAAGUAUUAUGAUUUGAAAUCAUAAAAAAGAGGUUUAAUUCCUCUAUUAACUU